AGGGGCGUCGCCAAGCGGUAAGGCAGCGGGUUUUGAUCCCGCCAUGCGUUGGUUCGAAUCCAGCCGCCCCUGCCA
rnacentral:tRNA from 6 species